UCAAAAUGAUUUAGCAGUGAAAUUUGUGUGUGGCAUGUCGCCGCCAAUGUAAAAUUGUUCAAAAAUCUUUUAUGAAUGUUUAACAAAUUUCGGUUGGUUUUCUGUCCAUCUGCGAGCGUGUGUGUGUGUGUAUCUGUGUUCAAAUUUGUUAGGAAAAUGUGAA
rnacentral:sRNA from 1 species